rnacentral:snRNA from 1 species
CUUUACCCUGUCGGGUUAUGGAU